rnacentral:rRNA from 1 species
AGCAGCCGCGGUAAUUCCAGCUCCAAUAGCGUAUAUUAAAGUUGUUGCAGUUAAAAAGCUCGUAGUUGAACUUCGGGGUUUACUCAUUGGUCAGGCUUAAUUGUCUGUACUGGUGAGAUGAAUCUCUACCUUCUGAGGAACUUUUAUGCCAUUUAUUUGGUGUGAUGGGAAAUCAGGACUG